UACUUCUUCGUUGAUAACAAACAAAUAAUGGGUUUUUAAAUUAGCUGUGUUUUUGUAUCUUGCGGCCCGCGCUUCAAAAACAUAAACACAUCCGUUUCCUCUACAUACUUGUCCUCAAUAAAAAUUAAACAGCGCGAGAUAAGAGCGACACCGCAAACGCAAUUAUUCAAUCAACAAAGUUAUUUAGAUCCACAAUAGGUACUUGUAAUAUAUAGAUCCAUUUGAAAUAGCCACUAUAUAGAAUAUAGCAGUUUUCAAGUGCUUCAAAACAAAGUUCCUACCACAUCAUACUCAUUUGAUUGGCUAGCUAUAAAAUAAGUAGAUAAUAGUUGAGUAAUCAUCAUUCUAUUCUCCCCACCACAAUACAAUAGUUUACUUCACUAACUCUCCUACGAUGUCGAAUGAAGAUCAAAGCUCCCUGAUCCAAGUGUCUCCAGUGCUUACUCCGGAGACGUUGAGAGAAGCCCUCACUAAGUGGUUUGAAGAACCAUGCACAUUCACUCACUGGCAGUAUGUAAGCGACACAGGGAAAGGCGAUUCGUACCUCAGCGACUUGAUGCGCAUUCGGAUAUACGGCAAUAACGAACAUGGCGUUUCUAAAAACGUCCAAGUUAUCCUAAAAACCAUGCCUAGCAGUGUAGCUAGACGACUCACAUUCAAGAGCCACGAAUUCUUCCAGAACGAAAUCAAUUUUUACGUCAAAGUCUUGCCUGCAUUAUUGGAGUUCCAAGCUAAGAAGAAACUCAGCGAACCUUUCGAUAGCUACGUGAAACUGUUCUUCGCUCAUUGCGACGGCACAAACGACGUCAUAUGCUUGGAAGAUGCAUCGCUAGAAAACUUUGGAGGCGCUGUUCGCCAAGAGGGAAUAGAUCUAGCGCAUUGCCAACAAACUUUGAAAUCCUUGGCGCAGUUCCACGCUAUCUCUUUUGCGAUGAAGGACCAAAACCCUGAGGAAUUCGAGGACAUAAGGCAUCACAUAUUCGAGGUGUACUACCACGAGCGUUUGCGAAAUUGGUACCGGCGUUUUUGGAAGCGGAUAUGUGGUAUAGCGAUCGACGCGGUAGAGCGGGAAUAUCCGGAUUCUGUUUACGUGGAGAAGAUUAAACAGUUCUGUGUGCCAGAACGGUACGAUGACAUGAUAAAGGCGGCUACGCGAAGUGUCACUGGGGUCAUAUCCCACGGGGAUUCUUGGACCAACAACUUCCUGUUUAAAUACGAGAACGGGACUCCAGUUGAUGCCAAGAUCAUUGACUUUCAGUUGACACGGUGUGCGACACCGGUGUUGGAUAUUGCGUUUAUGUUUUACGCGUGCACGAGUCAGGAUUUGAGGCUGAAACACUAUGAAGAACUGCUAAGGUUUUAUUAUGAUGUGCUCUCUAAACAAAUCGUGGAGAUGGGCAGUGAUCCCGAGAAGUUGUAUCCGUGGGGUUUAUUCAAGGAGGAAAUUAAAAAGUAUUCGUACUUUGGACUGGCGUUCAGCUUCGAGUCUACUCCGAUGAUCAUACUGACGCCCGAAGAUGCUAUCGAUAUGGAAGUUAAGGGCGUCAGCAAGUUGGACAUAGACGAUGUGUGGUGCAUAGGCCCGAUCAAAGACAAGCGAGGCCGGCAGAGGGAGGCUGGCAAUGUGGUCCACUGUGUGGACAACGGGUAUAUAUGACGGGUUUCAGAAAUAAUAGCAAAAUGUACACGAGAAUUCCAUGUUAGUUAGGGUAAAACUAAAAAAUACUCGGAAAAAAAUAGGUUAUAGAAUAAUAGGGUGAUUAUUUGUGUUAAACUAUUUUAGCUAAUGCAAUAUAACUCUGAGGCCGAGUCGCACUAUCUUACUUUAACUUUGACUAACGUCAAAAAUCUGUCAAACUCCAUGCAAAAAGCACCGGUUACCGUUAUGGUUAGUUACGAUCAGUUAGGUGGUGCAACUUAGCCUUAGUAAAUAAUUAAAUAUAUAUAAAUGGUGAAGGGACCACGAUGUUUUGCUAUGCUACCAUAAAGCUAAUUACAUAACUUCUUCCUUAGUAAAUAAGGAAGAGUUAGGCCCGGUUUCCACCAAAGCGGAACUGAGAAGUGUGUUGAAUAACCAAUCAGAGAAUCAAUUUUCAGACUUAAAAUAAUAAACCAAUCAGAUUUCAUUAUUAACACUUCUCAUCUCCGCUUCGCUCCGCCUUGGUGGAAUCCGGGCCUUAUGUAUUUUACUAUUAUGUAUUUGUUGUGUCUUUCUUUCCGUUAUGGAACCCUAGAAAUGUUAUGCGAACUACUUGCCCCGCCUUCUGUACACAAUUUUAGCAAUGCAAUAAAUAAAUUUACUUUAGGUAAAAUAGUAUUAAUAAGUGAUAUUAGUAAAAUAUUUAUUCAUA